rnacentral:miRNA from 1 species
AAAGGUAACUGUGGUUUUUACUAUUUGAAAGUAAUGGCAAAAACUGCAAUUACUUU